rnacentral:misc_RNA from 1 species
GAUGAAGAACGCAUCGAAAUGCGAUAAGUAAUGUGAAUUGCAGAAUUCAGUGAAUCAUCGAAUCUUUGAACGCACCUUGCGCUCCUUGGCAUUCCGAGGAGCAUGCCUGUUUGAGUGUCAUUAAAUUCUCAAGACCUGUCUGCUUUUUUGAUAGGUAUUGGAUUUUGGGGGUUGCAGGCUGUUUCAAAUAAAUAGCCUUGCUCUCCUUGAAUGUAUUAGUGGAGAAAAGCCAUUGAACUCCAUUGGUGUGAUAAAACCUAUCAAUGCCAGGAGCAAUAUCACUACUUCUCUCUGCUGUCUAACUGUGACUGUCUGUAUUAAUUAGUAUGGAUGGGGACAACUUGACCAACUUGACCUCAAAUCAGGUAGGACUACCCGCUGAACUUAAGCAUAUCAAUAAGCGGAGGA